UUUAUGGGUUUUAGGAACAGAUGUGGUUGUGCCUGAUGAAACGAGAGUUGAAGGCCCUUGGACAUGCAGAAAAGUAUUUAACUUUUGAUAAAAGGAUAAAGGAAAUUCUGGAGACUUUGCGUCGUGGGGAAAGAGUGGAUUCUUCUGAAUAAAAUACAAGAAAUAAAAGAUGAACAAGAAAUACAGUUUUAUUGAAAUGUUAGCAUGAUGUAAUUUGUUUCAUUGUAUACAUACAUAUAGUGAUAAUAAUAAUCUUAUUUAGGGUUUGAAUUAUGGCAGUCUGUUUAUUUUUGCUUCUAAAUUACCUCCUGUGUGUAAGGAAUGGCUGGGGUUACCAUCCAUUGGGAGUGUAAGAUUUUAAUGCUGGUCAGCAGUAUUGGAGAGAACACUACCAUUGCUCCACAUAACAUUCAGUAUAUGUGUAUGUGUACUGGAACCUAAUAUCUUAUGUAGGCAGGUGCAGUAAAACUUUUAGAAAUCACACAAGUGACUUCUUAUGAGUAUGUAGUAUAAUAAGCUACCUUGUGUAUGAGUUUUUCAAGUAGGACUUUUCCAUAAUAUGGUAGCCGUCCCAUGAUAAAAAAAUCAAAUGUGUUUCAUGUAUAGACCUUAGUGCCUUGAUGAAUGGUUGCAAUACUUGCGCAACAGCAGGCCAAAGAUGAUGGAUUUACUUUCUUUUUCUUUGCUUUUGAGCAUCACUCUAACUCUUAACUUGUAGUCAUGAGGUAGGUAGUAGGAGUUCACUGUUACAAUACUGGAAAAGUGUGAAGUGUGAAUGCUAUCACAAGAAAAAAAGUAAUUAACAUUUUGAGUCAUAUCUUAGGCUUGAAUAUCAAUGUUAAUCAUAAAUCUUCCCUUAUUGGUUUGGACUAACAAAGCAUUACCAUAAGACUGCAAGAUGUUAUCCAGUGGUUGUCAUUCCCUAAAUAAUUGUAAUGCCUGUGUAAGCUGUGAUAUAUUUAGUGGGAUUUAUAGAUUGAGCUUUAAUUAUCCAUUUUAUGUCAUUCCCUAUAUGAUAGUCAUUUUUGUGUAAACUGUGAUAUUAUAUUUAAUAGCAGGUAUAGAAUGCACCUCUAUGGGCCAGCUUUAAAAAAAUAAAAUCUGUUAAGUUAGGAUACUCCAUACAUUGAUGGCAGUAUAAAGUGCAUAAAUGUAUUUCAGGCUUACUGGACUUGUUUUGGGGCAAAAGUUUACAGUAUUGACCAUGGGAUAGUCAUGUAUUUUAAUGACAGCCAGAACCAAAUCACAGUCCAAAUCCACUGAAUCUACUUAAUCUGUUAAUGUAGGUUUAGUGAAGUUUGGUAAUAUCAAGGUGUCUUUCAAAUAAGUAUAAUGGGGAAGGAGUUGAUACCAUGCUUUAGUUUCUUAUUUAGCUUUGUACACUGUUAGCUCAUUGAAUGAUGGAAAAAGUAGGGUCUCUUACAAUUUUACUCAUGACAUUUUAUUGACUCAAAUAGUAUAUCAGAAAUGGCUUCUUAGCAGUGCUUUUCUCUUGAACUUCAUUUGAUGGGGGUAAAUACCAUCACUAUGUAAAUGAGGGGCACUUUCUUACAUGAGUUGUGUUGAAGUUUCCUUAGCCGUUAAGUACUUUCGUAAUCGAAGAAAAGGUAAAGUAUAAGAAAAUUUAAAAAUAAUUUCUUAAAUAAAGGAGAGACAAAAUAUAA